AAAUUCUCCAGGAUUUCUCGACCUCGGUUGUUUUAUCUGGUAGUUUGCGCUAAUCUUCGCUUUGCGUAGGGAAUUUCUCUCCUUAAUACAUUUCUGAGUUAAGGGGUUUGAAGGUUGGGUCUAUCUUUUGAGUUUAUCUCACUAGAGGAUAAAUUGUAACUUCCAACAAAUAAGCGAUAUG
rfam:Artichoke Mottled Crinkle Virus complete genome